rnacentral:rRNA from 1 species
AGAGUUUGAUCCUGGCUCAGAACGAACGCUGGCGGCGUGCUUAACACAUGCAAGUCGAGCGAGAAAUUUCCCGCUUGCGGGAAAAAGUAAAGCGGCGCACGGGUGAGUAAUGCUUGGGAAUAUGCCUUAUGGUGGGGGACAACAGUUGGAAACGACUGCUAAUACCGCAUAACGUCUACGGACCAAAGGGGGGGAUCUUCGGACCUCUCGCCAUUUGAUUAGCCCAAGUGAGAUUAGCUAGUUGGUAAGGUAAAGGCUUACCAAGGCGACGAUCUCUAGCUGGUUUGAGAGGAUGAUCAGCCACACUGGGACUGAGACACGGCCCAGACUCCUACGGGAGGCAGCAGUGGGGAAUAUUGCACAAUGGGCGAAAGCCUGAUGCAGCCAUGCUGCGUGUGUGAAGAAGGCCUUCGGGUUGUAAAGCACUUUCAGUUGUGAGGAAAGGGAUGUAGUUAAUAGCUGCAUUCUGUGACGUUAACAACAGAAGAAGCACCGGCUAAC